rnacentral:lncRNA from 1 species
GUGUUCUCAUCUGUCAAGUCUGUAUAACAACCCUCUAUAAGGUUGCAAUAGAGACCGAAAGAGAUUCAUUCACUCGUUUAUUUAUUCAUUUGACAAAUAGUGCCAGACACUGACCAGGGCACUGGGGUUUUUACAGAGAAUGAGACAGUGAAUGGUUCUUUUUUUCUCAGAGUGAACAUUCUGCUGGGGAGAUAACACCUAUUGGUGCCCAAUCUUGUUAACCAGCACCUACAAGCUAUGCAACAGCUUCACUCCAGCCUUUCUUCUUGGAUUAUCUUUUUAUUUAAUUCCCCUACCACUUGUCUCAAAAUUCUCUUGCCUUAGAGUCCUUCAGAUAGGGGCUGCAUGAGGGAACUCCUGGGAGUCUGGGGGAUGGGGAGAGUCAUCAUGUCCAUGGCCAGCAGGCUGAGUUGGGAGUCAUAGUUAGUUUGGGCUGCUUUAACAAAAUACCAUAGACUGCAUGGCUUAAAAAAAACCAAACAUUUAUUUCUCACAGUUCUGGAGGUUGGGAAGUCCAAGAUCAAGGUGCUGGUAAAUUUGGUGUCUGUUGAGGGCUUGCUUCCUGGCUUAAAGAUGCUGCCUUCCUCUUACGUCCUCAUGCAGUGUUGAGAGAGAAAUAAUCUCUCUCAAGUCUCUUAUGCUCAACCAUCAUGACCUAAUCACCUCCCAAAGUCCCCAUCUUCAGAUACCAAUGCAUUGGAGGUUAGGGAUUCAAUGUAUGAAUUUUGUGGGAGACACCAUUAAGUCCAUAGCCGCGAGAUGGCAGGGAGGGAAUUAAAUAUACUGAAGCCCAUGCGUAAAUAUCGCCUUCUUUUUGCUUCUUUCUGCUAAGGCCACUGGAGAGAAACCCAACUUUUUAAUAAUUUCUCCUUUUUGGUUCAAAGUUUACUACAAGUAUGCUUUCUUUGUUUCUGCUAUAAUCGUGUCAUUGAGUGGUCCAAAGAUAAAUGUCAACAAUGCAGCCCUCUGGCUGGAAAGGGGCCCAGGAUGCCUGGGCUUGUCAUUAAGGAGCGCUGGUCGGGGGAGUGGAGGAGCCAUGUAGGGGCCUGGCAGACUCAGCAGAGGACACAGUCAUUAACUAUGGGAGGGAUGGGAUGAGCCAUCCAAGCCCUGGGUCUGGCAGAGUUUAUGACUAUGUGGUGGAGAGCAGAGUGCAUUUGUAUUUCAGGAAAUCCCCUCAGCCAUUGCACUGGUUUUCUCUGGCUUCUUUGUCAAGCCUGGGUUCUUUAGUUUUUUUAUUUUAUUUUAUUUUAUUUUUAUUUAUUUAUUUUUUAAGUUCUGGGGCACAUGUGCAGGAUGUGCAAGUUUGUUACAUAGGUAAAUGUGUGCCAUGGUGGUUUGCUGCCCCUGUCAACCCAUCACCUAGGUAUUAAACUACCUGGGCUCUUUAGUUUUGACAUUUGUUUUUUCCUUAUGGACUUUUCCUCUCAUUACACAUCACAUACGUGUUGUGAAUUCAAGCCCGGGAAGCAGUGUAUUGUUUUAGGCAUGGGACAUUGGUGGUAUAUGGAAUCUGUGAAAGGAAUCAAGUAUGCUGGAGUCAUAAAUGCAAGGCUUGAGGUUUUGUGGUGUGUGUGGGGAAUGAUGCAGUCAGGUUAAACAUUCAGAGGUGGGACCAGGUUGCUUGACUCUCCACCUGGGCUACCGCACAACACCCAAGGGCUAUUCUCACACAGAUACAGUGUAGACAGUGCCUGCUGGGGUUGUGUGGCACAGUAGUCGGCUUCCAAAUCAGUGCUCCUUCUUUCCACCUACUUCUCCCUCAGCCUUCCUAGUUUUAAGUGGUUGCCCCAAGUGCCAGUUUUCCUAAGAGCUUGGAUUGGAUCCAAGGAAUGUAGUCCUGAGGGCUUCAUCAGGAAUUCUUCUGUAGAGAUAGAAGCCAGGGAGCCGUGUAAUUAGAACUUUCUCUGGGAGGCUGCAAGAGGGAUUCUGCUCAAAAUGGCCCUGGGUAGGAACCCUUCUUAGGAUUGAGUGGGAAAACUGGGGAAGAUCUUUCUGCUGUGGCUUAAGGGUAUUUACCUUUCCUUCUUCAUUGCUUAUUCCGGCAAUGUGCUCAUGUUAGAGUUUACCAUGUGCCAAUGUUAGAGUUACAAAGACAAGAGCUUAGAAUAAGGCUUAGGAACCUGGUCUUCAUCAUUCACUCCUUCGUGCCUCUUGGAUUCCCCAUGGAGAGAUCCUGAUUCCCCAGGGUUAAGCACUGAAUGGAAACAAAAUGCUACUCUAGUGAUAGUUGGACAAGCACCUCACAUCCCCUUCUUCUCCAUACUGGCCCCCAUUUCUGCCACCAUUUGCAGGGUUUUCUGGCUAGCUGUCCUGGGGUAUAAGACAGACCUGGGAGCCUAAGCAGGUUUCUAUCACCUCCUCCCACAAAGCCAAUAGAGAUCUGCAAAAGAAGCCCAUUUGUUUAUCCAUCCAGUGGCAGAUAUGUGAGAACUGAAACAGAGCUGAUGAGAUAGAUUAGGCUUGGCCCACUGUGUAGGAAGAGCCCUGUGUAAGUCCUGUCCUUGAGAGAGUGCAUGGGGACCCAGCCCAUAGUAAAUCAUGGCCCAGUGAAUGUAUUGUUGCCAAUAUCACAAGCUGGGAGCUGGCCUUGACUCCUUCCUCUCAAUCCCACACCCAACCAAGUCCUACUCAUUCUACCUCUAAAAUAUCUUUCAGAUCCAUCUGCGUCUCUUUAUCCCCUCUCUACCAUCAUAGCCACUACAACCUCAUCUCCAGUACAGGAACAGUGUCUUCCUAGGUCUCUCCAAAUCCCCUCUGCCCCACCCACCAUCUGUUAUCCACAUUGUUGCCAGAGAAGUAUCUUGAAAAUGUCUAUCUAGCUAAGUAUUUCCCCUAUUGAAGCCCUUCAAUGUCAUCUUGUUGCUUUUGGCUAAAAACUUUUUCAACGUUCCUCAUCCUUCAUCCCUCCCCCCUUAUAUUCUGUGUUUCAGACCUAAUGAACUACUUUCCUCUUUUCCAAACAGGUAAUGCUCAUUCUCGCCUUUUCCCAUGCUAUUUCCUCUGUGCGAGACUUUUUAAUACUCCCCGCUUCCUGCUUCAGUGAACUCCUAUAUAAUCUUCAUGUUCUCAGCUUAGUUGUCACUUUCUCCAGGAAGCCCUCUUUCCUUUCUCUGGGUUGGUGGUCUUCUUACCUGUUUCUGCAGCUGCACAGAUCAUGUAUUGCCCUUGUCUGUUUUCUGGCCAUGCUCCCUGGCUUUGAGAACAACAGGGGCCUCCUUGACUUCUGCUGGGCUAAGCAUGUAGGGUCUUCCUUCCAUUCCAGACCAUGUGGAUUCACUUAAUCUCUUUAUGAGUUUGCCUAUAGCAAAAGAAAAGGGGGCACUGGACAUCAUAAUGGAUGAUGUCCACAAUACCAGUGAUUUCUUUUAAUAUCCAAACAUUCCAUGUAUUACUGGUUGUUUUAUCGUCUCUCAACAAAGUCAAGGGUGAAAUGAGAUGUCAGCUCUUUAAGUGGUGAUUCUGUGGGGUAGUGGGGUAGGGAAUGCUUUAGGCUAUGUCUGGAAACUCCUGUAUUGAACACGAUUUCACCUCCUCUCCUCUUAGGGUGGAAAUGCUUGAGAAACCCUGAUAAGAUAUUUGUUUGUUUUUUCCCCCUCUGUGGAGCAUUAAUAGUUUAGCCAAGCUUUCAACAGGAACUAUCAGAUGAUUCACUGUAGAGCCUCUGGGGAGGGUCUAAAAUGGUGUGUUGUUGUUAAUUAGGAGAGAAUCUGUACACUCUAGACAGCCAAAUGUAUCUCUUCCAUACCCAGCAUUUCCUGAGCUUCUACCCUGUGCCAGGCUCUGCUGGGUGCUGGGUUACGGAGGUGACUCAAGACCCAUCCCUGCUCUUGAAAGUCUCACCCAUAUCUAAGAUCUAUAGGAAUGGCAUGAAGAAAAUGUUAGGAGUUGAGAGAUGGCAAAAAGCACAGAGAUGCACCCAAUUAUAAGGAGCAAGUGAGGAUGGUGCGUCACAUUUACACAGGCAAACUUUAGGAGUGACAGUGUGCAAUGACCCUCGAAAGUGUCUCCCAGGCCAUGGCAGUGCCAAGGGCCAAUGUGGCAUUAGGAAGCUUUAGAUUGCCCCAAAAUCUCUAGAAUCCCAAAUUCUCGCUCUGUCUCCCAGGCUGGAAUGCAGUGGCAUGAUCUCAGCUCACUGCAACCUCUGCCUCCCGGGUUCAAGCAAUUCUUGUGCCUCAGCCUUCUGUGUAACUGGACUAUAGGUGUGCACCCCCAUGCCCAGCUAACUUUUGUAGUUUUUUUUUUUUUUUUUGAGAUGGAGUCUUGCUGUGUUGCCCAGGCUGGAGUGCAGUGGCGUGAUCUCCACUCACUGCAAGCUCCACCUUCUGGGUUCAUGCCAUUCUCCUGACUCAGCCUCCCAAGUAGCUGGGACUACAGGUGCCUGCCAUGAUGCCUGGCUAAUUUUAACUUUCGUAUUUUUACUAGAGACAGGGUUUCCCCAUGUUGGCCAGGCUGGUCUUGAACUCCUGGCCUCAAGUGAUCUACCUGCCUCAGCCUCCCAAAGUGCUGGGAUUACAGGCAUGAGCCACUGUGCCUGGCCCUCUUCCUUAAUGAUUUCUGAAGUAUUAGGCAAACACAUUCUCAAGCCCCCUAACCCCCUUCACCAGAUUGUCCCUCCAAGUCCCUUGCUAAUAGGCAUUCUGUGGCAAUCAUUUCUUCCCUCUGGUUCCUUGCUAAUUCACAAAAACCCAGCAGUUGAUCCUUAGUUGGAAACUGAGACACAUGGGGGUUGUCAAAGAGAUGGGCAUGACAGAUGCAGACAUUUGGGCUUGUGCAGACACAUAUUCACUUUUCUAUAUUCACACAGACACAGUCUCGUAUACCUUGUGACGACUCUAUAGCCAUAUUGUUCUCUGGCUUUGAUAGGUAGAAAUGUCUGCAAGAGAGUGAGUAAGCCCCUUCCUCCUGCUAGACACUUGGAUACUUGGCAGACUUUUGCAAAACCGACCUAACAAGGACCUGGCCCCAGACAGUGGGACAAUGAAGAUUUCAACAUUGUUUAUGACAGCCUGUUGCUGUAUUGUAAGUGACCUCAGUACCCCGCUUCUGAAGGAAGAGUUUAUACGCUAAGAAGCCCGGAAGAUAUGUGGUGUGGAGUGAUGGAUGGAGUGUUUAGGGGUGAGGGAUGGUGAGGAGUUGGGGAGGGGAAGCAGGUGCUGAUCUUGAGGCCAUUUGCAGUGGUGUUGGGACUCAUGCCAAUUAUAAUCCCAAAAGGCAUAAUUGCUAAAGAUCACAAUUUCUAGAGUCUAAAUGCCCUAACAUCUAAAAUCCAGAAAAUCACAAUCCCAAAAGAUUAAAAUCCCUAAUAUUGAAAAUUUGAAAGCCAAAUUCUGGAGGAGGGAUUAAUGCAUUUUUGGUUGUACACAGGAUAGUUGUAUCAUGUUAGUUCCAUCAAGUUAGCUGGAACUAUUACCUUAUUAUUGUCUUGACACAAUUACCAAGGUUAUUGUACCUUGAUAAUGGAUUGGCCAUGAAGUAUGGCAAUGAUAAAAUCUUCGGUUUAAAGAUGCAUCAUUUGUCUGCGUUAGCAUCCUUUCCAUCUAAUGAAAUUCCAGGAGCUUUGAAUGAAUGAAUGCUACAUUUACCUGAAGAAGCCAGCCAUUACUGACUGGCUCAAAAAUAAUUGUGUAUAUGAUAGGAUAAGAAGACACUUAUGCAACAAUGGUGCUGUUUGAUCACCAGUAUUGUUUCUGCCAAAUAUGUGGCCUGUAGAUGAGUGCAUUCCAAAUAGGUACCUGGGUGCCCAAAGUGACAUAGAAACACGGCACAGAAGAUGGAAAAAUCGAAUAGGGAAUGCUCGUCGUGUUGGGGUCUAUUAAAUCACAGAAGAAUUUCAAAAACAGCAGUGCCAUGUAGAAAAUGAAAGUGAACAUAUUCUCCAUGGGGAGCCGUGCCCUAAAAGAAAAAAAAGUAGCUAUUCAUCUCGAUGCAAGACUUCAAAACAUAGUUAAUGAUUGUAAAAGUUGGGCAGCUCUUAUGGACUGUCUCCGUGCAAUUGCCCAUAAUCUGUCCUUGUAAUACACUUUUUCAUGUCAAAGCUUCUUUUUUGUUUUGUUUUAGUUUUUUCUUUUCUUUCUUUUUUAAAGUUUUUUUCCACCACUACUUAAAAUUAUCAGUGUUAUCUUUUACAAUUUGCUAUGUUAUAUAUUUCAUCUUUGCAUCAUUUUCAAUACUGGAGGUAUAGAUUGUGUAAAGGCUUUUUAAAGAGUUCUAAUUCAUUUUAUGUAUUUUUUUUUGAAGAUUUGACUCCAUGAAGGUGCAUUAUCACAAUGUUGGCUUUGUGCGUAAGCAUUAUAUGUGUACGUAAAAAUGUGGAAACUUCCUCAAUAAAUGAGAGAUGUCCUUUUUGUACAUUUGCACUUGUGAAAGGUAAAAUUCUAGAACUCAGCUCUUUGGGUAACUUGCCUGUGCUGUGGUGAUGACCCACUGAGGUUUUUUAACUAUCUUGUCAAAUGACUUAGGUUGUCCAUCAUGAUAUUUCAGUGACUGCAAUUAUAAAGCUGGGUGCACACAAUUACCAACGAUAGUGAUAUGUGUUUAUACAAUUCACUUUUUGACCUGUUUCCCUAUAAAUCUGGCUUGUCUGCUUGUAACUAUUAUACCCUUGUGACUGUCCUAAGCACACUUAAGUGUUUGUGCUCCAAAAAUAUGUAUUCUAUUAUUGGCUAUUUUAAUUGCAUAAAGUAAAUUAUAAAGUAUUCUGUCAUGUUCUUGUAUGUUUCUCAAAUAAAUCCUCUUUUAAAAAUGUAAAUAAAUGUAUUCUAAAGAGUUUUUUUUUAAAUUAUUUUUUCCAG